rnacentral:misc_RNA from 1 species
GAUGAAGAACGCAGCGAAAUGCGAUAAGUAAUGUGAAUUGCAGAAUUCAGUGAAUCAUCGAAUCUUUGAACACACAUUGCGCCCGCCAGUAUUCUGGCGGGCAUGCCUGUUCGAGCGUCAUUACAACCCUCAGGCCCCCGGGCCUGGCGUUGGGGAUCGGCGGAGCCCCCCGUGGGCACACGCCGUCCCCCAAAUGCAGUGGCGGUCCCGCCGCAGCUUCCAUCGCGUAGUAGCUAACACCUCGCGACUGGAGAGCGGCGCGGCCACGCCGUAAAACACCCAACUCUUCUGAAGUUGACCUCGAAUCAGGUAGGAAUACCCGCUGAACUUAAGCAUAUCAAUAAGCGGAGGA